rnacentral:rRNA from 1 species
UGAAUUGCAGAAUCCCGUGAACCAUCGAGUCUUUGAACGCAAGUUGCGCCUGAAGCCAUUAGGCUAAGGGCACGUCUGCCUGGGCGUCACGCAUCGCGUCACCCCUUCCCCAAUCAUGGUGGAUGGGGUG